GGGAGACACCGAGGGAGACAGUAGAGGCCGCUCCUCCCUGCUGCGCGGCACCCCCACCCCCCCGCAGGGGUGGAUGGGCACCUCGGAGUGGCGGGAUUUCUGCAGGUGUGACCGGGGUUUCUAAUCAGGUGACUUGGCGUUCAUCAGAAGGGAGGUUGAUCUGGCCGAGCCUGGCUAGCUCAGGUGCACCCUUUAAGAGGCUGGAAGCCACAGAGCCGCCCCCUCCUGAUGCCAAAGAAGCAUAUGGCCAUCGGCUCCACAGCUGCGAGAAAGAUUAUGCACACAACGACAUGCGCUCAGGAGGGGACCUCGCGCCUCGGUUGAGAUCCCAGCCCUGGCUGACACCUUGAGUGCAGCCUGUGAGACCCUGAGCAGAGGUUCAGCAGUCCCCUCCCCGGACUCCUGCCACACAGAAGCCAUGAGCUGACAGAACCAAGGACACACACCUUGUUAACGACGCCCUCAAGGCUGUGAGGAGAAAGACAACCGGGUGAAGCAACGCUGGGAAUUCAACGCAUCAAUUACCUUCCCAGGUAACAGCAGCUACUUGAGCUCCUAAGAGUUGACCUUCAGCUGCUGUCAUGGAAAAUAGUGGGGGUCAACUAGACAUCAAAGAUGAAAGGCCAGGCCUCCAGCACAACUUUCUCUGUAAGCUCGAUAGUGGCUUUCUCAAAGAAAUCCUUUUCUCAAAAAAAUUUCUUGUAAAGACAGGGUCUUGUUCUGUCACCCAGGCUGGACUGCAGUGCAUGGCUCACUGCAGCCUCAACCUCCCGGGCUAGAGUGAUCCUCCCCUUUUCUGAGGAGCUCAGACCACAAGCGUGCACCACUGUGCCCAGCUGAUUUAUAAACUUUUUUUUUAGAGACAGGGUUUCACCAUGUUGGCCAGGCUGUUUUCUUUCAAGGUUUCACCAUGUUGGCCAGGCUGUUUUCUUUUCUUCUCUUUUUUUGAGAUGGAGUUUCACUCUUGUUGCCCAGGCUGGAGGGCAGUGGCGCGAUCUUGGCUCACUGCAACCUCCGCCUCCCAGGUUCAAGUGAUUCUCCUGCCUCCCAAGCAGCUGGGAUUACAGCGUAGCUGGGAUUACAGGCAUGCGUCACCAUGUCCAGCUAAUUUUGUAUUUUUAGUAGAGACGGGGUUUCUCCAUGUUGAUCAGGAUGGUCUCGAACUCCUGACCUCAGGUGAUCCGCCUGCCUCAGCCUCCCAAAGUGCUGGGAUUACAGGCGUGAGCCACUGUGCCUGGCCAACUUGGAUUUGUUACUGUUAUACAGGACAUGGCCCUUAAUAUUCACAUGAAUGACAGUGAGACACACAAUGCUUUCUAAAGAUUGGUUUUGGCCGGGUGUGGUGGUGCACACCUGUAAUCCCAGUUACUCGGGAGGCUGAGGCAGGAGAAUCACUUGAACCCAGGAGGCAGAGGUUGCAGUGAGCCAAGAUGGCUCCAUUGCACUCCAGCCUGGGCAACAAGAGCAAAACUCUGACUCAAGAAAAAAAAAAGGUUGGGCACAGUGACUCACGCCUGUAAUCCUAGCACUUUGGGAGGCCAAGACAGGCGGAUCACGAGGUCAGAAGAUCAAGACCAUCCUGGCUAACAUGGUGAAACCCCGUCUCUACUAAAAAUACAAAAAAUUAGCUGGGCUUGGUGGCAGGCACCUGUAGUCCCAGCUACUCGGGAGGCUGAGGCAGGAGAAUGGUGUGAACCCGGGAGGCGGAGCUUGCAGUGAGCCGAGAUCGCGCCAGUGCACUCCAGCCUGGGCAACAGAGCAAGACUCAGUCUCAAAAAAAAAAAAAAAAAAAAAAACAAAGACUGGUUUCACAUUCUGUUUAUAUGAAUAAUUUGUGUGUGCACAAAAGCAGUCUGCUCAGUGGGUGCCUGGCCUGGGGCAUCAGUUCUGAGCUGGAAGAGAUGAGGAUGCCCACAGCCCUGCCUCUGCCCCACAGCCUGCCUGUACCUGGGUCCUCCUGCUGGGCCGUGGUGGGGAGCCGCUCCCGUUGCCUCAAGGCCUCCAGGCCUGCCAGGUCAGGCUGAUGGCAGUGG
rnacentral:lncRNA from 10 species